rnacentral:lncRNA from 1 species
CUUCGGAUCUCCCGGGGGAAUUUUGGGGCUCCGUCUCCUCCGGUGGGUGGAUUUGGAUCUCGGGAUCACGCAAAGGGCCGUGGGGGGCUCAGCUUGGGGCUCGGGAGGGAAAUUCCCUUCUCUGAGCAGCACAAAGGGCUCCGUGGAGCUGCAGGCUGGGCCAACCUCUCCUGGGGCCUUCCAGCCCACUCCUGGUUUAUCUGGGAUUCCUGGAUCCAGCACAGUCCUGGUUUAUCUGGGAUUCCUGGAUCCAGCCCACUCCUGGUUUAUUUGGGAUUCCUGAGUCCAUCCCAGUCCUGGUUCAUUAUUUGUGAUUCCUGGGUUCAUCCCAUUCCUGGUUUAUUAUUUGGGGUUCCUGGGUACAUCCCAGUCCUGGUGUGUUUUUUGGGAUUACUGAGUCCAUCCCAGUCCUGGUUUAUUUUUUGGGGUUCCUGGCUCCAUCCCAGUCCUGGUUUAUUUGGGAUACCUGGAUCCAUCCCAUUCCUGGUUUAUUAUUUGGGAUUCCUGGCUCCAUCCCAGUCCUGGUUUAUUAUUUGGGAUUCCUGGAUCCAUCCCAGUCCUGGUUUAUUUUUUGGGGUUCCUGGCUCCAUCCCAGUCCUGGUUUAUUUGGGAUACCUGGAUCCAUCCCAUUCCUGGUUUAUUUUUGGGGUUCCUGGCUCCAUCCCCCACUGCCCCUGGGCAUUUUCCUGCUCUCCCAGCUCCAGGCAGGGAAUGAAUUCUCCCUGCAAUGAAAUCCCUGCAGUAUCCAGCCCUUGGGAAUGUUUGGGAUCUGCAAAGCCCAGGAUCCUGUCCCGGGAGAGGAGCAGGUCAGGGCAGAGGUGAAAACGUGAAAACACCCAAAAAUUCCCUUUAAUUUGGGGCAGGAUCAAACCCCUCCUCCCAAACCUGCUGGGAACAGAGGUGAAAAUGUGAAAAUACUCAAAAACUCCAUUUAAUUUGGGGCAGGAUGAAAUCCUUCCUCCCAAACCUGCUGAGAACGGAGGUGAAAAUGUGAAAACACUCAAAAUUUCCCCUUUAAUUUGGGGCAGGAUCAAA